rnacentral:rRNA from 1 species
GAAAGUUGCAAAGCACUUUGAAGAGAGAGUUAAACAGGACGUGAAACCGAUGAGGUGGAAACGGACAGAGUCGGCGUAUCUAGCCUGUAUUCAACUGGAGACCCAAGCACAUUGGGUAGGCCUUUUCCAGAUUGGACAGGCGAUCCAACUGUUUGGGAGUCUACAGUGCAUUUGCAAGUGGAGUGCGCUGAGGUGGUCGGGUUAGCUGCGUGAUCUCGGGUUUGAGGCCAGCCCCUCGGGGUAUGGUACCCGGCUCGGGGGAGUGCUGUUUAGCCUGUUCAACUUGUAUGGAAAUGGUAUCGGGUCCGGCUGGUAUCCAGCUAACAACUGGUGGCGGUCGCAUGCGACACGUACUAGUGGUUGGUUGGGUCCUGGUCUGGCUCCCAUGUUUUCCAAUCCUCGGUGUAAAAACCGGUCAUCUGUCCGACCCGUCUUGAAACACGGACCAAGGAGUUUAGCGUGUGCGCGAGUCAUUGGGUGUUGGAAACCCAAAGGCGCAAUGAAAGUGAAGGUCUCUCUUGUGGAGCUGAUGUGUGACCCGGGUCACCGAGGUGGCCCGGAGCAACAUGGUCCCGUCCUGAUCGCUUGCGAUGGGGCGGAGACAGAGCGUACGCGCUGAGACCCGAAAGAUGGUGAACUAUUCCUGAGCAGGACGAAGCCAGAGGAAACUCUGGUGGAAGUCCGAAGCGAUUCUGACGUGCAAAUCGAUCGUCUGACUUGGGUAUAGGGGCGAAAGACUAAUCGAACCAU